ensembl:snRNA U6 U6 spliceosomal RNA
GUGCUCCCUUUGGCAGCACAUAUACUAAAAUUGGAGCGAUACAGAGAAAAUUAGCAUGGCCUCUGAGCAAGAAUGACACACAAAUUCAUGAAGCGUUCCAUAUAUAA